AUACGUAGGUGGCAAGCGUUGUCCGGAAUUACUGGGUGUAAAGGGCGUGUAGGCGGGAAGGCAAGUCAGAUGUGAAAUUCCGGGGCUCAACCCCGGCGCUGCAUCUGAAACUGUCUUUCUUGAGUGCUGGAGAGGAAAGCGGAAUUCCUAGUGUAGCGGUGAAAUGCGUAGAUAUUAGGAGGAACACCAGUGGCGAAGGCGGCUUUCUGGACAGUAACUGACGCUGAGGCGCGAAAGCGUGGGGAGCAAACAGGAUUAGAUACCCUGGUAGUCCACGCUGUAAACGAUGGAUACUAGGUGUAGGAGGUAUCGACCCCUUCUGUGCCGGAGUUAACACAAUAAGUAUCCCACCUGGGGAGUACGGCCGCAAGGUUGAA
rnacentral:rRNA from 1 species